rnacentral:rRNA from 1 species
AACGAACGCUGGCGGCAUGCCUAACACAUGCAAGUCGAACGAUCCCUUCGGGGAUAGUGGCGCACGGGUGCGUAACGCGUGGGAACCUGCCCUUAGGUUCGGAAUAACUCAGAGAAAUUUGAGCUAAUACCGGAUAAUGUCUUCGGACCAAAGAUUUAUCGCCUUUGGAUGGGCCCGCGUUGGAUUAGCUAGUUGGUGGGGUAAAGGCCUACCAAGGCGACGAUCCAUAGCUGGUCUGAGAGGAUGAUCAGCCACACUGGGACUGAGACACGGCCCAGACUCCUACGGGAGGCAGCAGUGGGGAAUAUUGGACACUGGGCGAAAGCCUGAUCCAGCAAUGCCGCGUGAGUGAUGAAGGCCUUAGGGUUGUAAAGCUCUUUUACCCGGGAUGAUAAUGACAGUACCGGGAGAAUAAGCCCCGGCUAACUCCGUG